UGUUAUGAUUUCUAAGAACUAUAUAUUUCCUAAAACAAAUGCAUAUUAUUUAACAAAAAGUAGUGAUUCAACGAAAGAUGGAAAAUAUGUAAUGCAAUUCUGAAUAAUAGCAAUGUCAAUUAUCCAAAUUACCUUAGAACAUAAUAUCUAUUUACAAGAGCCUUUAGUACUAGAUGAUAACUUUAGGUCAACAAUCCACUAUCAAGUUUAAAAGCUAAAUGAUUUGAUAGAAUAUUUACAGAAAUGUGGCAAAGUAACAAAAUAAUGAUUGAAUGAUUCCAUCCUAUAACAGUAAAUCUAGAGAAAGACAUGUGGCCAAGCGAUUGGAAUAGAUCAGCUUAAUGCAAACACCACAGAAAGAAGACUGUUGCACCAUAUCUUUAAUUUCAUUAUGAGCAAAAGAGUUCUUAGGAUGACCCAAAACUGAACAGAAUACUAUGUUCAAGCUAGUUUUAAAAACAAGAAACAAUACUGUUCUCUGGAUAAUUGAGAAGGCCAAAGAAUACCAAAAAUAAUUCACUAUAUACUUCAUUGAUUAGAGGAAGAACUGCAAUUCUGUUAAGCUGUGAUAUGUCUUUUAUAAAUGGCAUUCUCAGAUCAUUUUCAAAUGCAAAAGCCACACAGAAUAGGAGUCCAGGUAAAAGUCCUGGCAAAGCAGAUCAGGUCAGCAAAGACUGAAUUCUUUGUCUUAUUUAUUCAGUCUAUGUAUCGAAUAUAUGCUGAAAGAAGCUUGAUCAGAAAAUUAUGAAUGUAAUUUAAAUGUGAAAAAAUAAUCAUCAAGCUGGGCUAUGUUGGUGACAUUACUCUGAAAGCUGAAAGUACAAAUCACUAGAGAGCUUUACUGUAGUAAUCAAAGUCAAAGACUUCGUGAGAAGUCUUCAGUGAGAAUUGGGAGUAUAAUUAAAUAUAAAGAAAACCAAACUAGUAAAAAC